rnacentral:misc_RNA from 1 species
GAAACUUCACGGGGGCGCGUGGUUCGGCCUGCACCGGCGGCGACGUCGUGCUGCGGUCGGCCGUGCGCCCUCUUCCAAACCCAAACACCUGUGAACCUUUGGGAUGGCGCGCUGUAGUGGCCCGCCGUCCCGUUUACAACCAACUCUGAUGUCUAUUUGAAUGUGAACUCGGGGCAUCCCCGAUUUAAACUUAAAACAACUUUCAACAACGGAUCUCUUGGCUCU